UACGUAGGCAGCGAGCGUUGUUCGGAGUUACUGGGCGUAAAGAGUGCGUAGGCGGUUUUCUAAGUUUGGUGUGAAAUCUCCCGCUUAACUGGGAGGGUGCGCCGAAAACUGGAAGGCUUGAGUAUGGGAGAGGUAAGCGGAAUUCCUGGUGUAGCGGUGAAAUGCGUAGAUAUCUGGAGGAACACCGGUGGCGAAGGCGGCAUCCUGGACCAUUACUGACACUGAAAAGCGAAAGCCAGGGGAGCAAACGGG
rnacentral:rRNA from 1 species